UAUCAAAGGUUGCUACAGCAUUUGAGGGUCCUUGGUUCUGUGAAUUAAGUAUUUUCCAGAGUGUAUAAAUUUAUCCUCUUACUAGCAGUGAACAUAAACAUGUCAAUCAUCAUUAGAAAAAGCUUUGCAAAAUUUAACCAAAAUAUUUAUAAUUUUUGCUUUAGUGUAUGUUUUUAUAAAGUUGUAUAUAAUUUUUGAACACUGACAUUGAAAAUACAAGAUUACUUUCUCAUUUAGACCCAUAUUAUCAGCUCUCAGAAAUUCUGAAAGUUAACUAACAUGUGAUAACUGCAGUAUUAUAUAUGUGCUUGUUCUUAACAGUCCCUACUGCAAUGUGAUCUGUCCACGAUCAUUAUUUCAAAUGUUAAAUAAAGGACAUUUUAUUGUAUGCAUAAAUCAAUAUAUUUAUGCCCUUUUGUCCUUCAUUUAAAAAUGGAAGGAUGAUUCCUUUUAUCUUGGCAGAGAAUUCCUUCUAGAGAUAAUGCAACACACAGCCUACAUCUUCUGAUCUUUUUCUUUGUAUUUUUUAUGAACUAUAGAAGUGAGUUUAAGUCACUUUAAUUCCUUCCAUAUUUACUUAUCAACAGCAUCAAUAAAAAGUAAACAAAAUUUUAACUUAAAAUUAGAGAAAAUAUCCAAGAAAAUAUACCUAUGCCAUAAGACCUACUCUUUUAUUGAACAUAAUCUGUUAUCUUGAUAAGGCCAAGCCAAGGAUUUUUUUUAUUGGUUUAUAUCUUAUAUCAACACCCUCUUUGGAGAAGUAUUCAGAUCAAGAAGUUUUAUGGAACCCAGUGGAAAAACCUAUUAACUGACUAUCUAUGCCUGGCAUUAGGCUGCCUACAGUCUCUAUUCAGGCACAAGCAUACUUGCUGAUACCAUCAUUAGGAAUAUAGUUGUGUGGACAAUAGUCACAGAAGAGUUCUUUGAAAAGUCUCUGGGCAAACCUUAUAUGUAUGUUAGUCUGGGGAUGAUAACAAACCAGCAGUAAGAGUCUGAAGGGAGUCGGAUGAAAGGUCGUUGAGAGUGACAUUUCACCCCCUGAUAAAACAAAAACAAAAACAAAACAAAACAAAAACCUAAUAAUUCCCAGUGUCCUGUUGAGGAGGAAGUUUAGAGACACAAGCGGUGAAGCUUGUAUGUUGACUUGAUACUUGAUGACCCUCCAAGAAACAGGAAAUAGAUUCAGGUGAGUUGAGAAGAGGAAGACAUUGACUUUCUUUGCAUAUUUGACCAGAAUAGGAAACCUUCCCUAUUAACACUGACCUGUUAUCAGAAUCUGUGAUAAAUGUUCAAGGAGCAGUUAUUUGGUUGGAUGUUUCCCCUGAUGCCCUUGAAAGGGCUUAGAAUUGAUCAAUGGCUGAUUUGCAGCUCUUGGGUACCAGGACAACUUCGAGUGUAUUGUGAAUGCUUAAAGUCCUGACUUUAUGCUCACUGUUUAUAAAACUAAAAUAUGUGAACAAAAAUGUGCCUGUCAUUCCUAUGUAUACCCUUUAGGCAAUAUUCUGUGAUAGGUGUCUGCCAAUAGCAGGUGGAAGAAUUAUAGUCCUGGUAUAGCAUUAAUGUAUUACUGCUUAUUUCAGGGCUCUGGACUUGGUAAAACAUUUUCCUCACUGUUCCUAUUUUAAUACCUAAUUUAGUUUUGUGGAAAAUACAUUAGUCAAUGUAAGAGCAACUUAUAAUACAAUGGUGAAGGAGGUACUAUUUAAUAUGUUCAGUAUAAUAAUGAAUGUGUGCUAGAAUAGUCACAGCUUUAUACUUCCACUCUGUAGUUGUUUUGAAAGUGACAUAUAGAGAAUAUAAUGGGGAAAUGUGUUCUGUUAUCUCUAACAAGGUAUAAGUGCCAUUGAAGAACACUUGUAUAAAAGCCAAAUGGUGCUUGUAACAAUAGUCAACACUUACUGAAUACUUGCUACUUGCACUUUUCUAAACACCUAAAGCUUUUUUUUUUUUUUUGCUUUUUAGGGCCACACUUGCAGCAUGUGGAAGUUCCUAGGCUAGGGAUAAAAUCAGAGCUGUAGCCUACACCACAGCCACAGCAACCCAGGAUCUCAGCCACAUCUGCAGUCUGCACCAUAGUUCACGGCAAUGCCAGAUCCUUAACUCACUGAGUGAGGCCAGGGAUCAAACCCACAUCCUCAUGGAUCCUAGUUGCGUUUGUUAACCGCUGAGCCAUGAAGGGAACUCCCUAAGGCAUAUUUUGUUAAUCCAACUUAACAGUCACCAUUUGAAGAAGGUACAGAUAUUAUGGCAUUUGACAUAUAAGCAAACCGAAACUUACUGAGAUCUGGUUAUUUGGACAAGACGUUGAGAUUUGCACCCAGAUAGUCACGCCCAGAUAUCCCACUUCUUAACUGAAUACUCAUGUUUCAUGUCCUGGUGAAAAACCUUUUGGCAUGAAUUGGCACUCUGUAUUGGCACUCCAGGUUCACCAGGUAGAAUACAGGAAGCCUAGUUAAAUUUGAAUUUCAGUUAAAAAAUGAUGGGAAAAAGUACUUAUACUUAAGAUUUGUUUCUUGUUUGAAAAUUAAAUUUAAUUAGGUGCCCUCUGUUCUUAUUUUCUACUUAACUCUCAAAAUAUGUUGAGGCAAUUAUUAUAAUUCCCCCAUUAAAGAAGUUGAAGAUAAAAAUGGAAAAUUGCCGAGGAAAACACAGCUUAUUUGACGUGAAAUCUUGAAAUCUGUUCAUUUCUCUAAUUAUCCCUUAAUGCCAAUCAAUGGAAAAAUGCUAUUUCAUGACUUCUGAUAUAGAAGGGGGGAGAAAUAUAUAUACUUAUGUACUUACAUGUAUAUGUGGAGAACCAUACCAUGUAGGUAUAUGUGAACUAACAAGUAUUGCAUUUUUACAAACUUACCUUUUUUAUGAAAGAGUGUCUUUUUUUCAGGAUCAUGGUCUUUCUAUAAUAUGUUAUUCAAAUUUAUUUUUUUAAGAGCUCAAGUAAAGAGAAAAUGGUAAUUUUUCUCUGUCACAUUGUUCUUUUUUUGUUUUUAUGGUUAUAUUUUUACACUUGCUGUAGCAAAAUAAAAUGAUGACAACAUUAUGAUCAUCAGUUUUUUUGUAACACAAUAAACAUUUAUUACAUUAGCAAAGUUCUAAGCAGCUUUUAUGCACGUUUCAUACUACAUAAAUUUGAAGGUAAUUCCAUCUCAAUGUAAGAAAGGAGAAGUGAACAUUAUUCAAUGGCUCUUUUACCCAUAGGUUACUUACAUCAAACCCACUUAAUUUCCAUUAAAAAUGGAGACUCACAUGACUAUGUUUAACUUCUGGAAGUGGGAUAUGCAAUCAUUUUAAAUAAACUGGAAAGAAAAGAAACCACAAAUAUUGGUAAACACUUGUGAGUUUUACCAUAUCCACUAGCAAACAAAUCUAGAACACUGAGGCAAAUGUUAGGAAAAAUUCAAAAUGUUGGAAUUUGCUAUUGUCUUCUUGCUUUUUAAAAGUAAAUUCUCAUAAGGGAGAUAAAGUCAGGCCAAGAUGUAUCAAUGUGCAGAAAUGAAUGGAAACAAUUUAUAUUUUCCAAAGAAACUGUUCUUGCAUUUUACAGGAUAGAUUUAUUCUUAUAAGAUGGAACUUUAAAAGGAUGUUUAAAAAAGGAAAAGAUAAGCAAAAAAGCCAAAAACCUGAAGUCGGAAGUGGGGUGGUUAAGAGACAUUAACCUUAACACUCAACUUGCAUUGAGUUGGAGGAAAUAGAUAUUUAAGAAGGAGACCAGUGAGUAAUAGACUUGAAUUUCCAUGCUUGUGACUAGGACAAGAAAACCCUGACUGUAGCUGUGUUUUUACAUGGAAUUGAUCAAAAGUGAACUAGACGAGGACCCUGAGAUCUUGGAGAUGGAAUUCUAAUGGGUGGUACAUAGAAUAACUAUAUAGUAAAUAUAGUUUAUAUAUACUAUGUAACUAUAUAACUUAUAUUCAUUUUUUUCAUUUUUAAAAUUUAUUGAAGUAUAGUUGCUUUAUAAUGUUGGAAUAAUUUCUUCCAUACAAGGUGAUUUGAUUAUACAUAUACACAUCCAUUCUUUUGCAAAUUCUUUUCCCAUAUAGGUUAUCACAGAAUGAGUAGAGUUCCCUGUGCUAUACAGUAGGUCCGCAUUGGCCAGUCAUUCUAUAGACCACAGUGUGCAUGUGCCAGUGCCAACCUCUCAAUCCAUCCCUCCCCCCACCUUUCCCCUUUGGUAACCAUGAGUUUGUUUUUGAAGUCUGUGAGUCUUUUCCUAUUUUGUAAAUAAGUUCACUUGUAUCCCUUUUAGGGGGUGUGAAUGGGGGUAGGUUCCACAUACAGAUGAUAUCAUAUUUUUAAAAUAGUAAGUAAUAUUUAGAAUCUAGCUGCAUUGUUUUUCUAUUGUUUCUUGCUUUGUAAUGAAAACUGUCAUUGAAUACUGAUUUUAUCACAAAAGAUCUUGGAUUUGAUCGCUGUGAAUAUAUAAGACUUCAACUUCUUAAGAGAUUCUUAUGAAUAUCUGCAGCUAAUCUUCCUCUCUCUCUCUAUCGCUCUAUCUAUCUAUCGCUCUAUCUAUCUAUCUAUCUAUCUAUGAAAUCGCUCACAUAAUUCAAGACUGAUGUGAAAAGAAUUAUGCAACACUGAGUUGGAGUUUCGGCCAUUUCAUACUAAUCUCAUUCUGUCUCCUGAGAGUUUAUUGGGGAAUUACUGUUUAAAAAUUUAAUUUCACCCAAGUAAAUUCUAUAAUGUACAAACUUUGUGAAGUACUAUAAAGACCUAAUUUAGUUAAAACAAAAUAGACUACCCCUUCAUAAAGGAAUGCCUUAGGUAAAUAACUGAUAUUAAUAUUUUGAAACUAAUUAUUUGAAAUGCAUAUGGUUUCUAUGUAUUAUUUUUUAAAUAUUAUAAUUCUGUAUUAUUUGAAUCUGAUUAUGUAUUCAUGAGAGCAUAGUUUUAGGUUUGGGUUUUUUUGAUAUAAGAUAUUCUACAAGCAUGGGAUGGAUGGAGCAAAAUUUGUUUUAUGUAGUUGUGCAUACAACUCAAAGGUGUCAUGUAAACUCAAAGGGGUAGGCGUAUAUAUUAUGCAACUGUGUGUGAAAAUAGUUAUAUGAGUACCUAGGAAUCAUAUGGCAGGUUACAGCUGGAAGGGUGGUAAUAAUAAUAAUAAUAAUAAUAAUAAUAACAAUAAUAAUGAAUUAGAAUCACUUUUCAUAAUUUCGUAAUAUCACUUUUGCGGUUCAGCAGAGGUACAACAUGAAAAUUUCUUCUUCCUUCGACAUUUAAAAAAUUGAUUGGAGUUCUCAUUGUGGAUCAGUGAGUUAAGAACUCAAAUAGUAUCCAUGAAGAUGCAGGUUCAAUCCCUGGCCCCACUCAGUGGGGCCAGCAUUGUCACAAGCUAUGGCGUAGGUCAGUGAUAUGACUUGGAUCCAGCAUUGCUGUGGCUGCAGUAUAGGCCAGCAGCUGCUGCUUCAAUUUGACCCCUAGUCUGGGAACUUCUGUAUGCCACAGGUGCAGCCC
rnacentral:lncRNA from 1 species